rnacentral:rRNA from 1 species
CGGCACGGGUGAGUAAUACAUCGGAACGUGUCUUCUAUGGGGGAGUAACUGCCCGAAAGGGCAGCUAAUACCGCAUGAGACCUGAGGGUGAAAGCGGGGGAUCGCAAGACCUCGCGCUGGAAGAGCGGCCGAUGUCCGAUUAGCUAGUUGGUGAGGUAAAGGCUCACCAAGGCGACGAUCGGUAGCCGGACUGAGAGGUUGAACGGCCACAUUGGGACUGAGACACGGCCCAG